GAUGAAAAACGCAGCGAAAUGCGAUAAGUAAUGUGAAUUGCAGAAUUCAGUGAAUCAGCGAAUCUUUGAACGCACAUUGCGCCCCUUGGUAUUCCGGGGGGCAUGCCUGUUCGAGCGUCAUUAUAACCCCUCAAGCUCAGCUUGGUGUUGGGGCCUGCCGACUGGCAGCCCUUAAAAUCAGUGGCGGCGCCAUCUGGCUCUAAGCGUAGUAAUUUCUCUCGCUAUAGAGUCCCGGUGGAUGCUUGCCAGCAACCCCCAACUUUCUAUGGUUGACCUCGGAUCAGGUAGGGAUACCCGCUGAACUUAAGCAUAUCAAUAAGCGGAGGA
rnacentral:misc_RNA from 1 species